AUUGAAAUCGCAGGUCGCGCAGUUUGGGCACAACCCACAAAGGUCAAGGAGCGCGCUCCACUGUCCUCCUUUAUUUAUUUACUAAGCAUGAUAACACAUCAGUCCAGACAGACAGAAGUACCCGCUUGAGAGAGAAAUUUGCAGAAGAGGACUAAAGUGGGUACCUGAUCGCGUUUCACUCCAUUGCAGUGGCUUGGCAGGAGAAAACAGUCGUGCCCGUCUUGUUUGCAGUCUCUGCUUGUUCCACCUUGAAGGACACCUGACCCUGUCAUCCUGCAGAUGUAAGGAACUUGUUGUGAACCUCCCAGCCACCAGGAUAAUCCCCAUAUCCAAGGAUUUUAUUAAGGACUGUGCAAUAUCACAAUGUUAGGACUGGAUUCACCAGCUAUUGUUUAUCAUGCAGAUUUGUCUGAACAUCGUAAUUUAUGAAACUCAUUCUUAAAUACAGACAUGAAUUUCUGUCCCAGGGAAUAGCACUAUGUGCACAUCUUCAAUUUAGAUCACAAUGAUUUAAAUGAGGUGUUUAGUAAAGGGCUGGAACAGAAACGUGUAAACUCCUGUCCUGUGUAUAAAAACAAUCCUGUGGUGGUCAUGACAAAAUCAUGUAGUGAACAAUCUAUUGAACGUUGGAGGUUAAUCUCUUGGAGAUGUCACUCACGUGGGAAUGUGUCACUCACGUGGGAAUGUGUCACUCACGUGGGAAUGUGUCACUCACGUGGGAAUGUGUCACUCACGUGGGAAUGACUUAUUUUCUACAAUGGACUGUGUAUUAAGGACUCGUGCACAGGUACAGAAACAACUAUAAAAGUGUAACAUUUAUUCCAAAUUGCAAGUGAUGCCUUCACGUGUUUUGGUUUUGAGAAAUCAACAGAAGAAAGGCAUCAAUAAUAUUCCCAUGCUGUAUUCAUUUAAUUGAAUAUAUAUCCUAUUUGAUAUGCAUUUAAAUAUACUGAACACAAAUAUAAACACCUCAUGCAACAAUUUCAACAACUUUAUUGAGUUACAGUUCAUAUAAGGAAAUCAGUCAAUUGAAAGACAAUUAUUUUAGCCCUCAUCUAUGGAUUUUACAUGACUGGGAAUACAAAUGCGCAUCUGUUGGUCACAUAUACACUAUAUAUACACACAAAAGCAUGUGGACACCCCUUCACAUUAGUGGAUUUAUCCACAUCCGUUGCUGAGAGGUGUAUUCAGUGCAUUCAGGAA